rnacentral:rRNA from 1 species
AGCCCAGAGCCUGAAUCAGUGUGUGUGUUAGUGGAAGCGUCUGGAAAGGCGCGCGAUACAGGGUGACAGCCCCGUACACAAAAAUGCACAUGCUGUGAGCUCGAUGAGUAGGGCGGGACACGUGGUAUCCUGUCUGAAUAUGGGGGGACCAUCCUCCAAGGCUAAAUACUCCUGACUGACCGAUAGUGAACCAGUACCGUGAGGGAAAGGCGAAAAGAACCCCGGCGAGGGGAGUGAAAAAGAACCUGAAACCGUGUACGUACAAGCAGUGGGAGCACGCUUAGGCGUGUGACUGCGUACCUUUUGUAUAAUGGGUCAGCGACUUAUAUUCUGUAGCAAGGUUAACCGAAUAGGGGAGCCGAAGGGAAACCGAGUCUUAACUGGGCGUUAAGUUGCAGGGUAUAGACCCGAAACCCGGUGAUCUAGCCAUGGGCAGGUUGAAGGUUGGGUAACACUAACUGGAGGACCGAACCGACUAAUGUUGAAAAAUUAGCGGAUGACUUGUGGCUGGGGGUGAAAGGCCAAUCAAACCGGGAGAUAGCUGGUUCUCCCCGAAAGCUAUUUAGGUAGCGCCUCGUGAAUUCAUCUCCGGGGGUAGAGCACUGUUUCGGCAAGGGGGUCAUCCCGACUUACCAACCCGAUGCAAACUGCGAAUACCGGAGAAUGUUAUCACGGGAGACACACGGCGGGUGCUAACGUCCGUCGUGAAGAGGGAAACAACCCAGACCGCCAGCUAAGGUCCCAAAGUCAUGGUUAAGUGGGAAACGAUGUGGGAAGGCCCAGACAGCCAGGAUGUUGGCUUAGAAGCAGCCAUCAUUUAAAGAAAGCGUAAUAGCUCACUGGUCGAGUCGGCCUGCGCGGAAGAUGUAACGGGGCUAAACCAUGCACCGAAGCUGCGGCAGCGACGCUUAUGCGUUGUUGGGUAGGGGAGCGUUCUGUAAGCCUGUGAAGGUGUGCUGUGAGGCAUGCUGGAGGUAUCAGAAGUGCGAAUGCUGACAUAAGUAACGAUAAAGCGGGUGAAAAGCCCGCUCGCCGGAAGACCAAGGGUUCCUGUCCAACGUUAAUCGGGGCAGGGUGAGUCGACCCCUAAGGCGAGGCCGAAAGGCGUAGUCGAUGGGAAACAGGUUAAUAUUCCUGUACUUGGUGUUACUGCGAAGGGGGGACGGAGAAGGCUAUGUUGGCCGGGCGACGGUUGUCCCGGUUUAAGCGUGUAGGCUGGUUUUCCAGGCAAAUCCGGAAAAUCAAGGCUGAGGCGUGAUGACGAGGCACUACGGUGCUGAAGCAACAAAUGCCCUGCUUCCAGGAAAAGCCUCUAAGCAUCAGGUAACAUCAAAUCGUACCCCAAACCGACACAGGUGGUCAGGUAGAGAAUACCAAGGCGCUUGAGAGAACUCGGGUGAAGGAACUAGGCAAAAUGGUGCCGUAACUUCGGGAGAAGGCACGCUGAUACGUAGGUGAAGUCCCUCGCGGAUGGAGCUGAAAUCAGUCGAAGAUACCAGCUGGCUGCAACUGUUUAUUAAAAACACAGCACUGUGCAAACACGAAAGUGGACGUAUACGGUGUGACGCCUGCCCGGUGCCGGAAGGUUAAUUGAUGGGGUUAGCGCAAGCGAAGCUCUUGAUCGAAGCCCCGGUAAACGGCGGCCGUAACUAUAACGGUCCUAAGGUAGCGAAAUUCCUUGUCGGGUAAGUUCCGACCUGCACGAAUGGCGUAAUGAUGGCCAGGCUGUCUCCACCCGAGACUCAGUGAAAUUGAACUCGCUGUGAAGAUGCAGUGUACCCGCGGCAAGACGGAAAGACCCCGUGAACCUUUACUAUAGCUUGACACUGAACAUUGAGCCUUGAUGUGUAGGAUAGGUGGGAGGCUUUGAAGUGUGGACGCCAGUCUGCAUGGAGCCGACCUUGAAAUACCACCCUUUAAUGUUUGAUGUUCUAACGUUGACCCGUAAUCCGGGUUGCGGACAGUGUCUGGUGGGUAGUUUGACUGGGGCGGUCUCCUCCUAAAGAGUAACGGAGGAGCACGAAGGUUGGCUAAUCCUGGUCGGACAUCAGGAGGUUAGUGCAAUGGCAUAAGCCAGCUUGACUGCGAGCGUGACGGCGCGAGCAGGUGCGAAAGCAGGUCAUAGUGAUCCGGUGGUUCUGAAUGGAAGGGCCAUCGCUCAACGGAUAAAAGGUACUCCGGGGAUAACAGGCUGAUACCGCCCAAGAGUUCAUAUCGACGGCGGUGUUUGGCACCUCGAUGUCGGCUCAUCACAUCCUGGGGCUGAAGUAGGUCCCAAGGGUAUGGCUGUUCGCCAUUUAAAGUGGUACGCGAGCUGGGUUUAGAACGUCGUGAGACAGUUCGGUCCCUAUCUGCCGUGGGCGCUGGAGAACUGAGGGGGGCUGCUCCUAGUACGAGAGGACCGGAGUGGACGCAUCACUGGUGUUCGGGUUGUCAUGCCAAUGGCACUGCCCGGUAGCUAAAUGCGGAAGAGAUAAGUGCUGAAAGCAUCUAAGCACGAAACUUGCCCCGAGAUGAGUUCUCCCUGAC